rnacentral:rRNA from 1 species
UUGAACGCUGGCGGAAUGCUUUACACAUGCAAGUCGAACGGCAGCACGGGGGCAACCCUGGUGGCGAGUGGCGAACGGGUGAGUAAUACAUCGGAACGUGCCCAAUCGUGGGGGAUAACGUAGCGAAAGCUACGCUAAUACCGCAUACGAUCUACGGAUGAAAGCGGGGGAUCGCAAGACCUCGCGCGAAUGGAGCGGCCGAUGGCAGAUUAGGUAGUUGGUGGGGUAAAGGCUCACCAAGCCAACGAUCUGUAGCUGGUCUGAGAGGACGACCAGCCACACUGGGACUGAGACACGGCCCAGACUCCUACGGGAGGCAGCAGUGGGGAAUUUUGGACAAUGGGCGCAAGCCUGAUCCAGCCAUUCCGCGUGCAGGAUGAAGGCCUUCGGGUUGUAAACUGCUUUUGGACGGAACGAAAAGCCACUUUCUAAUACAGGGUGGUCAUGACGGUACCGUCAGAAUAAGCACCGGCUAACUACGU